rnacentral:rRNA from 1 species
CGGAGGGUGCAAGCGUUGUCCGGAUUUAUUGGGUUUAAAGGGUGCGUAGGCGGUUUAUUAAGUCAGUGGUAAAAGACGGUCGCUCAACGAUUGCAGUGCCAUUGAUACUGGUAGACUUGAGUAUGAUUGAGGUAGCUGGAAUGGAUAGUGUAGCGGUGAAAUGCAUAGAUAUUAUCCAGAACACCAAUUGCGUAGGCAAGUUACUAAGUCAUAACUGACGCUGAGGCACGAAAGUGUGGGUAUCAAACAGGAUUAGAUACCCUGGUAGUCCACACUGUAAACGAUGAUAACUAACUGUUGGCCUUUGGGUCAGUGGUGCAGAGAAAUCGUUAAGUUAUCCACCUGGGGAGUACGCCGGCAACGGUG